CUGCUAACCAAGUUUACACUCAUUCUCCUCAGCCUGCACUUCAGUGUAUGGGUUGAAUCACAGCCACACGCUGUCAAGGCCCCUCUGAGAUGUGCAAAGCUCAACCUGUCAUCUCACCAGAUUAUUCCAUGUGUUCCAAGGACUGAUGGAAUUUUUUGCUUUCUGUCUUGAUGUUCUCUUGGCACUCACCCAGGAAGGUCUUGGGUAGUGUACUGAACAGGAAAAUGACAUCCCCAAUCUCCAGCCAGGAGAAUCUUAACAAAUGUCCAAAUGUCUCUGCUUUCAAAAAAAUCUGCCUCAUCGCCAGGAUGGAUUCUUCCUACCCUGUGAAGUUUCCAGCUGCCUUUUCUAAAAGUGGCCUUAUAGAGCCCCAUAUCUAUAGAAAUCCUGCAAUCGAUAUCUCUAUAGUUCCUGCAAUCAGCAUGGCAAUCAGCAUGGACUUGCAGAAUAAAAAGUAUCAUCAUUUCCAAAAAGCAAUCCACACCAGAGAAAAACAAAUCAUCUUCAAUACUGUGAAAAUGCCUUGGUGAUCUUCGACAAAGAAAUUGAAGGUUUUGUAUUAAAACUGACAGAGCAAGCUUCCUGCUGAAAGCCAUAGGCCAAUCCCCAGAGGAACAUACGUCUUGUCAGCGAGAAGAGCCACUGACAUCACAUCAUGAGUUUCCAUGAGCACCAAUGAUGGAAGCCAUGGAGAAGAAAAACUGCACUGCCAACUGCUUCAACACCAUUCCAAAGACAAUUUUUAGUACUGGAGGAGAGAAGAGUGCUUUUCAUUAGGCAGACUUUCCUGAAUUGAUGCUGAGAGGGAUGCAGCAAUUUUGGUGGUCAGUUCUGGUGGCAAUUCCGAAUGAUGUGCUGUCGCGAUGGUACAUUCAACUCAACCUGGCCCCUCUAUGUUGCUGAGAAGCACUCCAAAAGCACACACUCUCAUUAUUUCACUCCACACAACUGUGAAGGAGAACUUCCUCGCCCUAUGAAGAAUGAAAGGAAGAAGCCAGGGACACAAUGAGUGGGAAAGUAAAGGAAGAAAGAAGAUGGAAGGAGAAGGGAAGGAGGCUCAAGAGAGGGAGUCAAAGAAUAAAGAUUGCCUCCUAACUGUGAUAAAUGUGAUCUUCAGUAUCAUCAACAUUAAGCCUUCGAACAAAAAAAAUUACGUUCCUAAAACCCACGGCAGCCUGGAAACAGGAGUUACGCAGAGCUGGAAACCUUGGCAGAGGAAAAAGCCUUCAGUUGAGCCAGACUUUACAGGGCGAGGCAGACAUUUUUUUUUUUCCUCCUUGUUUUUGUUGCUUUUCACAUUUGGCUUUCUUGUGUUGCUUUCAGACCAUCCAUCUAUGUUUGCAUAAAAGGGUCAGGGCUACAUAGCAUGGAAAAAUGUAGCUUUCUCUGCUUGUUUAUAGGCCCAGGCCUUUUAAGGCACAGAUGCCUGAAGAUCUCCAUCCUUACCUGGAAGUGGCAAAAGGCAAUGAUAGUGGAAUCAAGCCAGCGUCCCAGAGUGUCCAAACCUUAUUUAAAGCUAUUUUGGAGCCAAGGACAUUUCCCUGAAUCUGUUCCAAACUAGAAUGAAGAUGCUGGUGAAUGAUAUUUUUGCAAAAUCUGCCGGCUCAGGAAUUGACAGUCUUGACAUUUACGUCAAAUAUGAAGAACCAUUUACGAAUCCUUGUUGCAGAAGGCUGCUGUCAGCAAGCCAAAAAUAUAGCAUAAAGAAUAAUAAUAAAACAAAGCUGGCACAAAACCUUGUUUCCUCCUGAAAAGGCCAAUUUUUAGUUUGAUGGCAGUGACUCUUAGAACCCAAAAGGAAAACAAAUUUCUACCCACACAGUCUGUGCUGCUCUUCUCUUCAUGUUAAUUUUAUCUCACAUCUCAAAUACAUAGUGUUUUUUUCCUAUUGAAACUGAAAGGUGUUCUUCCUAUUGAAACUGAACGGUGUUCAUUCUAAAAAUAAGUUGUCUGUAUUUAAUUCCAUAAAUGGUUUCUUCCUGGUGAGUGCUAUUUUUCAAGAAUGUUGCUUGACUGAAGUUAUAAUAAUGACUUAGAUACAGUCUCUUGAAAAAUUCUUUUGAGAUACAGAGUCUUCAUGAUGUGGAAACUGCCCAUUAGCUUUGUUCACAUACAUAAUAAAAUAUUUCCAUGAAGUUAAUAAUCAUCAAACUUCUUUGCUUCAUGCUGUUUGAGAGCUAGAAAUUCCUUUUCUACCCCCAGUCAACCCACAGUAGGCACUUCCUGAAACUCAGUAUUUCUGACACUCACUUCACCCUUCUUCAUUCACAAAACACCUAGUGUAGCUAAUGGGACCACCAUCCUUGCAUUCUCUCAAGUCAGAAAGCUGUGAGUUAGUCACAUUUGAACUCUGUCCCAUUAACUCUCCACCACCCCAUGGCCAUCCAAUAACCACUUGAUUUCUUGCUGAUUUCCUCUUUGUAGCAUUUUUGAAUCUUAUGGAAGAAGUGUAAAAUGUAUGCUCUGAAAACUAUAAAACAUUGUUGAAAGAGAUUAAAGAAGACCUAAAUAAAUGAAAAUGCAUCCCAUGUCUAUGUUCAUGGAUUGGAAGACUUAAUAAUGUUAAGAUGGCAGUACUUCUCAAAUAGAUCUAUAGACUCAGUGCAAGCUCUAUCAGAAUCCCAGAUGGCUUUUUUGCAGAAGUAGACAAGCAGAAUCUAUCAUUCAUCUGGAAAUACAAC
rnacentral:lncRNA from 1 species